rnacentral:lncRNA from 1 species
GGGGCAUUUCGUGGAACACUUUGUGAACCGCUCGAAAGUAGUAUUUAUAUUGCUAACUAAUUGCUUAUAUCCUCACAAAAACUAAUCUGAGACCAUGUCAACUUCCCUACCAGUUUGUUGUCACCAAAUAGCUUAUCCUCACAAAAACUACUCUCCAACUUUUAUACCAUCACACCAAAGUGUUCAUCACAAAAUAGAAUGUCAGAGCAUAACUUCCCAACCAGUUGAUUCUAGCCAACAUGCAGUCCCAUACAUCAAGCGACCAGAUAUAAAUUUUCGUCCUAGCAUUUGGGGAGAUUUUUUUCUUCAAUAUGAUUCUGAUUCUGAAUCAACGGUAAUGCUA